rnacentral:rRNA from 1 species
UACAGAGGUCUCAAGCGUUGUUCGGAUUCAUUGGGCGUAAAGGGUGCGUAGGUGGCGCGGUAAGUCAGGUGUGAAAUUUCGGAGCUUAACUCCGAAACUGCAUUUGAUACUGGCGUGCUUGAGGACUGGAGAGGAGACUGGAAUUCAUGGUGUAGCAGUGAAAUGCGUAGAGAUCAUGAGGAAGACCAGUGGCGAAGGCGGGUCUCUGGACAGUCACUGACACUGAGGCACGAAGGCCAGGGGAGCAAACAGG